AUGAAGUUGUUUUUAAUCGCUCGUACUUGCGCUGUCCAGAGACUGCCCACGGUGACGCGUGCACACCCAGUGGUUUCCUGUGUGUACUCAUGUAGGAUUUUCAAAAACAAAUAUGAGGUCAUAUUUUUUCUCAUAACUUACUUUUUCCAUCUAACAAAGUACAGGCUUCCCACGCAGGAAACAUGCACCUCUGCCCACCAUCGUGGUGAGCAGCCACUUGUACUUCGGUGCUGUGACUUGUUUAAACGAUCCACUGUUAGGCUGCCUCCGGUUUCUCGUAAAUCACGCGAUGCCAGUUGCCUGUCCACGCUUUCCUAUCGCUUCCUCGGGCUCCUGAGCCGUGGGCUCGUGGGGUGGGUGGUGUCCCUGGGCUCCGCUUCCUGACGCGGCGCCUCGGAGUGGCGGAGCCCCUCAGCCUCCUGCCCGGCAGCUCCUGACACGGUAUUUAUCAUCUUAAAUGAACAUGCUGCUACUGUGAUGGGAGGAAUGAUAGUGUCUUGUUUUCAUUUUUGCUCAUUGCUAAUGAGUAUUUGACAUACUUUCCAUUUGUGUUUCUUUUUUUGAGAAUUGCCAAACAUUGUUCCUCCAGUAGCCAAAAAUAUAGUUGUUUCUCUGCCUUUUCAGCUUGAUUUGAAAGAAAUAAAUGCAUUUAAGCAGUGGCAAUUAGACUCCUGCACAUCCUUGGGCCGAAUAUAGAAGUUGAGACAGAGAGGAGGGCUGAAACCUGCGCCUCAGGACUAUCCUGGGGUCUCUCCGCUGAAUAACCAGCCCCUGGGUGUCUGCCGUGAAAUGGGUCAUCCUCCACCACACACACACACACCCCCAGUGUGGGUGCCUUGACUUAGGGAGCCCAGGACUGAGCCUGAUUAUCGGCUGAAGCUCUUGCGCUGGAGCAAUGGGCUUUUCCAAGGCCUUCCUGUGUUGACCCAGAACCGUACGUGUACUGACGUCUACUGCCGUUACCCCAUUGCACAAGGCUCCUCGAGUAACUCCACCCUGUGGCUGUGGCGAGGCCUUCUGCCCGGGUACCGGUUUACUCACCACCAAGUGAGGUCAGUUCAGAAGGCAGCACACAGUAUUGUAAAAGUCCUGCAGCAGCAGGGUACUCCCAGGAGUUUGGAGAAUUAUUGGACCAGGAUCGCUGAGAAGACGGAGGCUCUGGGUGGUGGGCUCACUGUGGUGGGCGCUCCCCUCCCAGGGGCAUUUCCCGUCUUCAAGGAGGCUGACGGGCGGUUCUGAUGACUUGCGUAGUCGGGAGUAGGGCCUGCCAACGGGUGUGCCCCUGGCGGCCACCCCUCACUUUGGGGUGAGGCCCCCCCAGUCCUCUGCCCCAGGAGCAGGUGAGACAGUGGGGAGCAGAAGGCUCUGAGGGGUUGCAGCUCAGCCUCGAACUCUCGGCCUUAGCAUUGGACUCCAGUGACCCCAGUGUUGGCAGGAGCCAAUAAAAGCCUCUAGAGGAAAAUGUCAUCAGCGUAAGCUUUUGAGUCCUUUCUACAGGCAGUGUUGCUAAUUGCUAAUUUAUUGCAUCCUGAACGCAAUGAACUGUAACCAAGUGUAUGAGACAAGAUGAUAACACCAAUAAAACGAAGACUAUGGAACAGGCCCCUUAGGCUGGGGAAUAUAGGAGCUUUCAGACCAAGCCUGUAAAAUAACCGCUUACUCUAAAGGAGAUACCAGAUGUGGGGGGGCAGGGAGUGAAUUCUAGAAUCUUAAAAUCCAAAACCAAAGUAAGAAUUCACGGGAAGCUUAUAAUAGUGGAUUAGAUACAGCUGGAGAGAGAACUAGGAAACGAAACUGACAGUAAGUCGGCGAGCCCACAACACAGAACGAGCAAGUGAGCUCAUGGGCCAGAGAGCCACGCCCACAGGCUGGACCCACUCCAAGUCACAUCUGAUUUACUGAGAUUCAAGAGCCUUCAAGUUAAGAAUGGUUUUGCCUUUGUAAAUGGGCAUGUAAAUAUCUACAUAAAAUUCUCAGUUUUGCCUCAGCCCACAAAGUCUAUUUAUCUAGUCCUCAAAGAAAAAAGUUUGUCAACUCCUAACUGUAACAAUGUGAGAGCUGGACCAUAAAGAAGGCUGAGUGCCAAAGAAUUGAUGCCUUUGAACUAUGGUGCUGGAGAAGACUCUUGAGAGUCCCUUGGACUGCAAGGAGAUCAAACCAGUCAAUCCUAAAAGAAAUCAACGCUGAAAAUUCACUGGAAGGACUGAUGCUGAAGCUCCAACACUUUGGCCACCUGAUAUGAAGAGUCCAUUCAUUGGAAAAGACCCUGAUGCUGGGAAAGAUUGAAGGCAGGAGGAGAAGGGGACGACAGAGGAUGAGAUGGUUGGACGGCAUCACUGACUUAACAGACAUGAGUUUGAGCAGGCUCUGGGAGACAGUGAAGGAUAGUGAAGUCCGGCGUGCUGUGGUCCACGCGGCCUCAGACACAACUGAGCAACUGAACAAAAAGAAUUGUGACAAUGUCAACUUAUUCCUCAAACUGAUGUAUGUAAACUUAAUUAAAGCCCUAUCAAAAACCCAAUAGGUUUUUUGUGUGUGUGAAAUUCAACACCUGAUUCUCAAAGUUGUAUGUGAAUACAGAGGACUAAGAGUAGCCGAGACAGUCAGGGAGGAAAGCCAGAUGGGAGGGUUUCUCUUUGCGAGAGACAUGGUAGUUUGUCACAAGGGUAGAACAAAAUCUCUUAGAAACAGCCCCAUGUGUAUGGAUACUUGACUUUCGACAAAGGCAGGGGCCAUGGUCUGGAAGGGCAAGGUCAGGAAGACUUCAGCAAGGCUGGGAAUGUCCUUCUUUUAAAAGAUCGGCAUAGUGGUUAUGUCAUAAAUUAAGCUGUACAUCUUUUGUGCUCUUUUCUAGUAGGUUUUUAAAAGAAAGCAACAGGACUUCUCUGGUGGUCCCUUGGCUAAGAUUCUGCACUGCCAGUACAGAGGGCUCAGGUUGGAUCCCUGGUCAGGGAACUAGUGACAGAUUUUAUUUUGGGAGGCUCCAGAAAGAGGACAGUGAGAAAGCUGGCUUAAAGCUCAACAUUCAGAAAGCUAAGAUCAUGGCAUCUGGUCCCGUCACUUCAUGGGAAAUAGAUGAGGAAACAGUGGAAACAGUGGGAGACUUUAUUUUGGGGGCUCCAAAAUCACUGCAGGUGGUGACUGCAGCCAUGAAAUUAAAGGGCGCUCACUCCUUGGAAGGAAAGUUAUGACAGGCCUAGACAGCAUGUUGAAAAGAGACAUUGCUGGCAAAGGUCCGUCUGGUCAAAGCCAUGGUUUGUCCUGUAGUCAUGUAUGGGUGUGACAGCUGGGCCAUAAAGAAGGCCGAGUGCCGAAGAAUUGAUGCUUUUGAACCGCGGUGCUAGAAAAUUGAGGAUCCCUUGGACUGCAAGGAUAUCAAACCAGUCAAUCCUGAGAGAAAUCCACCCUGAAUAUUCAUUAGAAGGGCUGAUGCUGAAGCUCCAACACUUUGGCCACCUGAUGUGAACAGAUGACUCAAUGGAAAAGACCCUGAAGCUGGGAAAGAGAAGGGCAAGAGGAGAAGGGGAUGACAGAGAACGAGAUGGUUGGAUGGCAUCAUUGACUCAAUGGACACGAGUUUGAGCAAGCUCCAGGAGAGAGUGAAGGACAGGACGGGAAGCUUGGCACAGCUUGGCGGCAGUCUAGGGUGUUACAAAGGAUCAGACAGGACUUGGCGCAUAAAUGACGAGCAGCAGGGAACUGAGAGUCUGCACGCCACAGAGAGCCAGCGCAGCCGAAUACGUACAGUGACCAGCAGCCCUGUGCAAAGCCUGCUUGUGUAAGCAGCUCGGGAACCACCUGCACAGCCUCGCACUGGCUCAAGAAUGACUGCUCCAGGGAUGGCCCUACUGCCUGCCUGGCACCUCGAUUCUUUGCCCCUCCAUCAGGACAAUCUCGUGCCCACAAAGCUGGUCCACCUUCCCUGGCCCCUCUACUACCCAGGCUCACGUGUCCUCAUCUUACCUGGAGUGAGGUCAGAAGGGGCACUUUCAGGCCCCGUUUGCAACACCAGCAGGAAGAGGGAGACGGGGUAGGGCUGUUUUCCCCCGGCACAAGGCAGGACACUUUUCACACAGGCAGUUUUUCUCCUCCUAAGCUCAGUGAAAGCACGUCCCUCUCUGCUCUCCUGACGUGCCUGUGACUCACCACAGCUUGCCUGUCCCAAGUCGCAAUUCUCUGCUAUUCCUGAAUAAACCUGUUUUGCUGGUAAAAAUAACUGCCUUUUAUUUUUGAGGUUGACAAGAGAGAGGAAAAAAAAGAGAUGGAAAAGUCAGAAAUAAAAAUCUAAACUUGGAAAUAGAUAAUAGAAGUAAAUCCAGAUACCAUGUAAAAGGACUAAUUUUAAUUGGUGUGAUGUAAAGAAGCAUACUGUCAAGGUAUGGAGGUGGGUAAUCCCACAAGUAACAGAAGGGUGUUACUGUUUCAAAUGCAUGUGUAACUCCUGGGUCAGUGGAGGAUGGAAAGAGGCUCUUACCAGGCUGAGUCUCCCAGCAGGUGCGGUGCAGGCCAAAGAGGCAAAGGCAGAUGGCGGUGCUGAGUUCAGGGCCAGGCAGCUUCACACUGACCCUUGACGGGCCCACCUUCCGCAGAGCAGGACUCCCCACCAAGUUGUUUUGUUCAGGGCAGUGACACCCAAUGGCUUAUGCGUCUGAGCUUUGUACACAUGAAGUUUCAGAGCACUCGCUUGAAUUUCCACCCACUCUCCCCUUAUCCCUUGACCAGAACAUCCACUGUGGAGCUGGCAGCCUCAGAAACCACCACGGUUGAGACCAGAGAGCACGCUUCAUAGUUCCAAGUUCACCUGGGCGCCCUGGGCUUGAGCCACCUGAGCCACCAGGCAUUUCAUCUGUGUAGUUCAGGGCGCUUUCAGAUGGCAUGGCUAGGGUGUUGUGGGUAAACAGAUGCAGGAAGCCAGGGGCACUGGUGGGCGACCCUGACUGUCUCCCUGAGCUCUACCAGGGGGAAGUCAUCGCCCCUGCAGGGUUUCCAGGGCAAGAAUCCAAGCCCAACCCACACACACUGCUGCACACUGGCAAGGGACUGCAGGAGGGGACAGGGCAGGAGUCCUCUAACUGCGAAGGGCACAGCAGUGAGGUAUCAUUGCGGGGGCCCAAUCACCCUAUAAAACCAAACUCCAGCCACUCCUCCCACACGAGGAAACGGACCCGCGUGUUGCACUCGGGUGUUCAGAAUUAGAACCGCACCUCAGAGGUCCCUCAGCUGGUCACUUGAGGAGAGGCGAAAGGUGUGCAGGCCCGUCUUCAUGCAAACGCCGGAAAGCAGCCCGGGGGGCGCAGCCGUGUCCCGCGGGGGCCGCCGCGCCCGCUGCAGGCCGCCGCCGCGGCUCGGGCC
ensembl:lincRNA